ACACCGAUGGUGAAGCGGUUAUCAUGCUUGCCUUCCAUAGCAGAUCGGACACUCCUCUAAGCAAGCGGCAGGGGUUCGACUCCCCUUCGGUGUA